UUCAGCCAUUAUCAAUUGCAGCUGUUUGGUUCUUUGUAAAAAAAACAGGAGAGAAGUCUGCCAAGACGAAGCGCAGGAGUGAUCCAUGCUGACUAAUGUGACAGCGUUUCCUCGGGUGAAUGUGUCACAUAUUACACCUGACACUGGUGUGAUGGAUUACCGAGCCCUCGGGUUAUAAUAUCUUGGAGGGGUCGCACACAGAGAUUUGUGCACACUAACAAAAUCAUUGUGUCACACACAAUGUGCACAAAAAAACACUGCACCAACAGAAAGCAUACUCUAAGUCAGUGGUUCUCAAAUGGAGGUACGUGAUUUUUUUAUUUUUAAUUAAAAUUAGCAUCCAUUCAAAAAUAGUUCUUAAAUAUUCAAAAUUUCAUUAACUGUUUAUGUAGUACGCUAUUUAAUUUUCUUAUCCUGAAAACCCAGAGUCUCCUCCAUACUAAGAUGCUUUGACCCAAUCUGGCACACGCCCCCUGUCUUCACCUAUCAAUAACUGCUGCCUUGAAAGCUACAAUAGAGUUGUAGUUGAAGCGUAGCAGCGCUGCUGUCUACAAGACGCAUCCUACCCAAAGUGUGGUUUCAGUGUUCUACAUGUAGCCGGGUGAAGUGGGGGCAGGGAGGUUUUUGGACUGCUAGAUGGUCCGCACAGAGGGUGAGGGCGUACUGCCCCUUUAAGUACAUGGGCAUGAGUUCACGUGGGAUUUGGAGCUGCAGAGCGGGACCUAGUGGCUACUAACACGACACAGUGUUAGCGGUUAGCAUCGGAACAGCGUUAGGGAAAUACCUGUUCAGCGGGUCAGCAGGGGAGUAACAAGCUGCUGUGGGUCGAGGUUGCACGUGCAUGGAGCCGUGCGCGCCGGCGCUUGAGUGAGUUUGUUUUCGGGACUUUUUGGAGGAACGACAAUGGUGUGGGAUUUGAACAGCAUGAGACCAAUGUGCAUGUUUUUGUUUCUGUUUAACAGGAAGGGGUCACUACUGUUGUUUUUUUUUGUAUGUAACUGUUAGCUUCACGUAAUUUCUAGCUUAAGGUAAUCGUUAGCUCUAUUCCAUUACAUCCGAUUAGUUAGUGAAGCGAAGCAAUUGGUUAUUUGUACACUGUUCCAAGUGCCUCCUUAAUUUGACACAUUAAGGCUGUGCUCCAGGAGUGCAGUCGGGGGAAAUAAAGAACCCACAUUAAAGAGAAAUAAAUUUA